GGGCUGCAGUCAAGAAUAUUCCACAAUGGACGAAAGUCUGAUGGAGCGACGCCGCGUGCAGGAAGACGCCCUUCGGGGUGUAAACUGCUUUUCUUAGGGACGAAUUCGUGACGGUACCUAAGGAAUAAGAGGGUGCUAACUCUGUGCCAGCAGCAGCGGUAAUACAGAGCCCUCAAGCGUUAUCCGGAUUCAUUGGGCGUAAAGCGUCCGCAGGUUGUUAAGUAAGUUAAUGGUUAAAUUCUAUGGCCUAACCAUGGAACCGCUAUUAAUACUGCUUGACUUGAGGCUGGGAGAGGUACACGGAACAGCUGGUGUAGUGGUAAAAUGCGUUGAUAUCAGCUGGAACACCAAAGGCGAAGGCAGUGUACUGGAACAGUUCUGACACUAAUGGACGAAAGCGUGGGUAGCGAAUGGGAUUAGAUACCCCAGUAGUC
rnacentral:rRNA from 1 species